ensembl:lncRNA
CGGAAUAGACACAAUGUCAGCAUCACCUGUAACAUUAGAGACCCGUUUAAUUCACCACAAUAAACCCAUAAAUUCGUUUAUAAAUAAAAACAUUCUUAAUGUGUAAUAAUAAUAAAAAUAAAAUAAAACCGUUACGAUAGACGGCCAUCUCCUCUUUGAAGUACUCUCCAAAAUAAAAUAUAAAGCUUUAGCGGUGAGUUAAAACGAGAAUCGACGAUUCGCCUAAAAUUACACAGCGCUCUGAUACACAGCCGAGAUUUUAGAGACUUCUGCAUAACUGACCCUACUUUUAAACAUAACGCAUACCUAUUGUAGGGUGUGUCGUAAAGCCAUUAACACCCCCACAGACACUCAUUAUCAUGAACAAUCUGUAGGAUCACACCAAGACCCCCCUAGUCAUAAAAAACUCUUGGUCAGGAAGAAACAAAGGGCCAUAAAUUAAGCACUCCCAGAGAAACGCAGGCCUGACAAGGACGAGGCCAUAAAUUAGCCCUCUAGUUCUACCGCCGUGAUUGACAUUUUGACAGAACAUACUGGCUAAGAUGAAAACACGUGUAUGGGUGUGGAGAGAGAGAGAGAGAGAGAGAGAGAGAGAGAGAGGCGUGUUUGAAUACACGUAUGUGUGGGCGGGGUUUAGCGAGAGUGAGGUGUUUCAGUUUAACUUCAUUACUGCUUAACACAGACACUGGAAGACAUCUCUUGAAAAAAAAAAAAAAAAAAAACUUAUCUCCUAGUUUAAACAUCUUUUAAACAGCACUUUAACAUUUUUACCUCGUAAGGAUCUUUGUUUAGAAGUCAUGUAAUAUGCGCUAUUCUUUUUAAACAGCUCUUUUAAUCAUUUUUACAUCCUAAAGGUUUCUGUUUAGAAUGUAUGUAAUACAAACGAUUCUUUUAAACAGAUUCUUAAAAAAAAAAAAAAAAGACGCUUUAACUCCUAAACUUUUUAUUCAAAGGUAAACCGGGAUCCCUAAAAACAUAGUCAACAAUUGUUUUCAUUUAUUUCACAAAACAAAUAUUCUACUCAUAUACGUACACAUUCAAACAUCAUGCUUUUCUAACAGUGUGUUUACACAAACGAAAUACCCCCACACAGUAACACAAACUCAUCCCCAUAUUAAAAACAUUAUUUCUUUUCAGACGUAUUUCACCCCACCAAAAACCAAACUCAUUAACAUAAACACCUUUUGUUGGGAGGGGGGCUAUUCCCCCCCACCUCUCCACAACACCCCCAGACACAAAGGAGCCAGAUUGACCAGCUGAUACACUCGAUAGGGUUACCCCUCUCACCACCCCUACAGACCUGCCAGUCAGGGAAGCACAGAGGGUCAUAAAUUAUCAAACACACUACUUUGAUUGACAGUUUGACAGAAAGUGUAUGAUAUAACUACUUAUGCGGGGAAAAAAAACUGAUUAAUCAAGUUACUGCUGUGUAAUUUCAAAGAAAUAUAUCCAGAUGUAAUUGUUCACUAAGAUUUAUUUUUAUUUCAUCUUUUACUGGAAUACGAAAUCUCUUGCAUACAAAACUGCACGUACGAAACCAAAACCUACGGAGCUAAGCACGCGCAUGCGCAGAUAUUGUCCCUAAACCACGUUGGAUUUCAUUGUAUAAGCCAUAUCUUGAUCUGGUAUGUUUGUGUUAUAUAUGAAUGGAUUGUUAAAUAGAUUAUACUCUAGGCAUUUCCAUGACGUGUAAAAAUGUUUAUUUUACACACCUGAAUAAAAGAUUCUGAAGUCCCAAUCCCUUCGUUGCUAAUAUGUGGUCGAAAUCGCGUUUAAUAGAACGUGUAGUGAGGAGCUGAGAGAAAACUACAUCUUUCCCCCUGGAGUUGAUUCUCUCACAGCCUCAUCUGAGUGGAGCAGCAGAGCUGGACACUAACUCAAGGUUUAUCGAAAUUGUUUAUUCACAC